rnacentral:rRNA from 1 species
AGGAUUAACGCUGGCGGCGUGCCUAAUACAUGCAAGUCGAAUGGUUAGCUUGCUAGACCAUGGCGAACGGGUGAGUAACACGCAGGUAACCUGUCUUAAAGACGAGGAUAACCAUUGGAAACGAUGGAUAAUACUGGAUAGGACAUAAUAAAGCACAUGCGAACAUGUUUAAAGGAGCAAUCCACUUAAAGAGGGGCCUGCGGCGCAUUAGCUAGUUGGUGAGAUAAGAGCCCACCAAGGCAAUGAUGCGUAGCCGGACUGAGAGGUUGAACGGCCACAAUGGGACUGAGAACGGCCCAUACUCCUACGGGAGGCAGCAGUAGGGAAUUUUCGGCAAUGGGCGGAAGCCUGAACCCGAGCAACGCCGCGUGAACGAAGAAGUAUUUCGGUAUGUAAAGUUCUUUUAUUUGGGAAGAAAAGACAGAUUGACUGUACCAAAUGAAUAAGCUCCGGCUAACUACGUGCCAGCCGCCGC